rnacentral:RNase_P_RNA from 1 species
UCGGUCGGCCGGACGGUCGCCGCGGAGCAGUGGACAGUGCGCAGCAGGCAGUGAGCAGAUAAGAGCCGGACCGGUUUUGACUGCCCACCACGCACUGCCCACUGUCCACUGCUCCGGGGAGGAAAGUCCGGGCUUCACAGGGCGCGGUGGUGGAUAACGUCCACCCCCGGUAACGGUCGCGGGCUUCCCGGCUCGCACCGCCAACGGGCGGGAAAGUGCAACAGAAAGUGUACCGCCGGGGUGGUGUUUCGUGUUCGGUGGUUUGUAUUUUGGAAGGGCGAGGGCGCUCGCGUUUCUCGUUACCAAAAUACUAAACACCGAACACGAAACACCGCCCCGGUAAGGGUGAAAAGGUGCGGGGCGCGAGCCCUUAAUGUAAGAGCGCACCAGCGGCGGGGUGACCCGUCGGCUCGGCAAACCCCACCGGAAGCAAGGUCAAGCAGAGGACAGGGCC